CCUACGGGAGGCAGCAGUGGGGAAUAUUGGACAAUGGGGGGAACCCUGAUCCAGCGACGCCGCGUGAGUGAAGAAGUAUUUCGGUAUGUAAAGCUCUAUCAGCAGGGAAGAAAGAAAUGACGGUACCUGACUAAGAAGCCCCGGCUAACUACGUGCCAGCAGCCGCGGUAAUACGUAGGGGGCAAGCGUUAUCCGGAUUUACUGGGUGUAAAGGGAGCGUAGACGGCGAUGCAAGUCUGAAGUGAAAGGCGGGGGCGCAACCCCUGGACUGCUUUGGAAACUGUAUGGCUGGAGUGCAGGAGAGGUAAGUGGAAUUCCUAGUGUAGCGGUGAAAUGCGUAGAUAUGAGGAGGAACACCAGUGGCGAAGGCGGCUUACUGGACUGUAACUGACGUUGAGGCUCGAAAGCGUGGGGAGCAAACAGGAUUAGAUACCCCAGUAGUC
rnacentral:rRNA from 1 species